rnacentral:sRNA from 1 species
UCAAAACUUUACUUGGUGUGGUUUAUUG